GAUUGGCUCCGGCCUUUUUAUAAUCCACACACACCGUGAACCGUUCCCACGUCCUCCGGGACUUGGGACUACCAACCAAACAUUGUCUGCCGAACGUAAUAUUCUAAACGAAACAAAACUUUCAACAACGGAUCUCUUGGCUCU
rnacentral:misc_RNA from 1 species